UGGCGAUGAUGACAAAAAGGCCGGUCUUACAGCUGCCCUACCCUGGAAUUCUUUUCAUUCAUUUGGGGUUCAGUUGGUAGUAGUAUGAUGUGCUUGUCGUAAGGUGUUGUCUGAGCUGA